AAUUUAACAAGUCUCAUUUCUCAUUGUGGGGUUAGCUCUAGCCAUGUUAGCCAUGUUAGAAAUACCAGUUAAUAACAGCGCAUUACACUGCUUUUUGUGCAUACAAAAAUGUAUGUAACAUGUCCACA